CCUACGGGUGGCUGCAGUGGGGAAUAUUGCACAAUGGGGGAAACCCUGAUGCAGCGAUGCCGCGUGAGUGAAGAAGUAUUUCGGUACGUAAAGUACUAUCAGCAGGGAAGAAAAUGAUGGUAUCUGACCAAGAAGCCCCGGCCAACUACGUGCCAGCAGCCGCGGUAAUACGUAGGGGGCAAGCGUUAUCCGGAUUUACUGGGUGUAAGGGGAACGUAGACGGCAGCGCAAGUCUGGAGUGAAAUGCCGGGGCCCAACCCCGGAACUGCUUUGGAGACUGUGCAGCUGGAGUGCAGGAGAGGUAGGUGGAAUUCCUGGUGUAGCGGUGAAAUGCGUAGAGAUUAGGAGGAACACCAGUGGCGAAGGCGGCUUACUGGAC
rnacentral:rRNA from 1 species